UGCCAGCCGCCGCGGUAAUACGAAGGGUGCUAGCGUUGUUCGGAAUUACUGGGCGUAAAGAGCAUGUAGGCGGAUGAAUUAGUCAGAGGUGAAAGCCCCGAGCUCAACUUGGGAACUGCCUUUGAUACUGUUUAUCUAGAGUCCGAGAGAGGUUAGUGGAAUUCCCAGUGUAGCGGUGAAAUGCGUAGAUAUCGGAAGGAACAUCAGUGGCGAAGGCGGCUUCCUGGACCAACACUGACGCUGAGGUGCGAAAGCGUGGGUAGCAAACAGGAUUAGAUA
rnacentral:rRNA from 1 species